AACAGGAUUAGAUACCCUGGUAGUCCACGCCGUAAACGAUGUCGAUUUGGAGGUUGUGCCCUUGAGGCGUGGCUUCCGGAGCUAACGCGUUAAAUCGACCGCCUGGGGAGUACGGCCGCAAGGUUAAAACUCAAAUGAAUUGACGGGGGCCCGCACAAGCGGUGGAGCAUGUGGUUUAAUUCGAUGCAACGCGAAGAACCUUACCUGGUCUUGACAUCCACAGAACUUUCCAGAGAUGGAUUGGUGCCUUCGGGAACUGUGAGACAGGUGCUGCAUGGCUGUCGUCAGCUCGUGUUGUGAAAUGUUGGGUUAAGUCCCGCAACGAGCGCAACCCUUAUCCUUUGUUGCCAGCGGUCCGGCCGGGAACUCAAAGGAGACUGCCAGUGAUAAACUGGAGGAAGGUGGGGAUGACGUCAAGUCAUCAUGGCCCUUACGACCAGGGCUACACACGUGCUACAAUGGCAUAUACAAAGAGAAGCGACCUCGCGAGAGCAAGCGGACCUCAUAAAGUAUGUCGUAGUCCGGAUUGGAGUCUGCAACUCGACUCCAUGAAGUCGGAAUCGCUAGUAAUCGUAGAUCAGAAUGCUACGGUGAAUACGUUCCCGGGCCUUGUACACACCGCCCGUCACACCAUGGGAGUGGGUUGCAAAAGAAGUAGGUAGCUUAACCUUCGGGAGGGCGCUUACCACUUUGUGAUUCAUGACUGGGGUGAAGUCGUAACAAGGUAACC
rnacentral:rRNA from 1 species